UACGAAGGGGGCUAGCGUUGCUCGGAAUUACUGGGCGUAAAGGGAGCGUAGGCGGGUCGUUAAGUUGGGGGUGAAAGCCCGGGGCUCAACCUCGGAAUUGCCUUCAAAACUGGCGACCUAGAGUAUGGCAGAGGUGUGUGGAACUCCGAGUGUAGAGGUGAAAUUCGUAGAUAUUCGGAAGAACACCAGUGGCGAAGGCGACACACUGGGCCAUUACUGACGCUGAGGCUCGAAAGCGUGGGGAGCAAACAGG
rnacentral:rRNA from 1 species